rnacentral:snoRNA from 1 species
UGGCAGUUGUUCCUCGUGCAGGGCAUUUAGUAUCUGCAGGAUUUCAAACUGCCAUAUAAUAAUUACGGAUUGCUUCACCCAGAAUUGUUGUCAUAACACUGUUUGGCUUUGCGGAUCCGUACAGUU